AACGGAAAGGCCCUUCGGGUACUCGAGUGGCGAACGGGUGAGUAACACGUGGGUGAUCUGCCCUGCACUUAGGGAUAAGCCUGGGAAACUGGGUCUAAUACCGAAUAUGAUCAUGCGCCUCAUGGUGUGUGGUGGAAAGCUUUUGCGGUGUGGGAUGGGCCCGCGGCCUAUCAGCUUGUUGGUGGGGUAAUGGCCUACCAAGGCGACGACGGGUAGCCGGCCUGAGAGGGUGUCCGGCCACACUGGGACUGAGAUACGGCCCAGACUCCUACGGGAGGCAGCAGUGGGGAAUAUUGCACAAUGGGCGCAAGCCUGAUGCAGCGACGCCGCGUGGGGGAAGACGGCCUUCGGGUUGUAAACCUCUUUCAGCACAGACGAAGCGCAAGUGACGGUAUGUGCAGAAGAAGCACCGGCCAACUACGUGCCAGCAGCCGCGGUAAUACGUAGGGUGCGAGCGUUGUCCGGAAUUACUGGGCGUAAAGAGCUCGUAGGUGGUUUGUCGCGUUGUUCGUGAAAUCUCACGGGAUCCC
rnacentral:rRNA from 1 species